GACGAACGCUGGCGGCGUGCCUAAUACAUGCAAGUAGAACGCUGAAGGAGGAGCUUGCUUCUCUGGAUGAGUUGCGAACGGGUGAGUAACGCGUAGGUAACCUGCCUGGUAGCGGGGGAUAACUAUUGGAAACGAUAGCUAAUACCGCAUAAUAGUAGAUGUUGCAUGACAUUUGCUUAAAAGGUGCAAUUGCAUCACUACCAGAUGGACCUGCGUUGUAUUAGCUAGUUGGUGAGGUAACGGCUCACCAAGGCGACGAUACAUAGCCGACCUGAGAGGGUGAUCGGCCACACUGGGACUGAGACACGGCCCAGACUCCUACGGGAGGCAGCAGUAGGGAAUCGUCGGCAAUGGACGGAAGUCUGACCGAGCAACGCCGCGUGAGUGAAGAAGGUUUUCGGAUCGUAAAGCUCUGUUGUAAGAGAAGAACGAGUGUGAGAGUGGAAAGUUCACACUGUGACGGUAUCUUACCAGAAAGGGACGGCUAACUACGUG
rnacentral:rRNA from 1 species